AGUACCCCGCCUAGGGAGUACGGCCGCAAGGCUAAAACUCAAAGGAAUUGACGGGGCCCCGCACAAGCGGCGGAGCAUGCGGAUUAAUUCGAUGCAACGCGUAGAACCUUACCUGGGUUUGACAUGGAUCGGGAGUGCUCAGAGAUGGGUGUGCCUCUUUUGGGGUCGGUUCACAGGUGGUGCAUGGCUGUCGUCAGCUCGUGUCGUGAGAUGUUGGGUUAAGUCCCGCAACGAGCGCAACCCUUGUUCACUGUUGCCAGCACGUUAUGGUGGGGACUCAGUGGAGACCGCCGGGGUCAACUCGGAGGAAGGUGGGGAUGACGUCAAGUCAUCAUGCCCCUUAUGUCCAGGGCUUCACGCAUGCUACAAUGGCUGGUACAGAGAGUGGCGAGCCUGUGAGGGUGAGCGAAUCUCGGAAAGCCGGUCUCAGUUCGGAUUGGGGUCUGCAACUCGACCUCAUGAAGUCGGAGUCGCUAGUAAUCGCAGAUCAGCAACGCUGCGGUGAAUACGUUCCCGGGGCUUGUACACACCGCCCGUCAAGUCAUGAAAGUUGGUAACACCCGAAGCCGGUGGCCUAACCGUUGUGGGGGAGCCGUCGAAGGUGGGACUGGUGAUUAG
rnacentral:rRNA from 1 species